AGAGUUUGAUCAUGGCUCAGGACGAACGCUGGCGGCGUGCUUAACACAUGCAAGUCGAACGAGAUCCUUCGGGGUCUAGUGGCGAACGGGUGAGUAACACGUGAGCAACCUGCCCCUGGCUCUGGGAUAGCCUCCGGAAACGGUGAUUAAUACCGGACAGGACCUGCGUCGGCAUCGGCGCGGGUGGAAAGUUUUUCGGC
rnacentral:rRNA from 1 species